rnacentral:tRNA from 1 species
GAGGGUAUAGCUCAGCGGUAAAGCGCGUGCUUAGCAUGCGUGAGGUCCUGGGUUCGAUCCCCAAUACCUCCA